rnacentral:tRNA from 1 species
GCCGUGUUAGUCUAGUGGUUUAAGACGCUGCCCUCCCAUUCAGAGGUGACUCUGGUGAAUCCGGAAAGGCAGAAAUCAUGGGUUCGACUCCCAUACACAGCA